UGGGUUGUGGCUCCGUGGUAGAGCGCUCGCCUGGCACAUGUGAGGCACUGGGUUCGAUCCUCAGCACCACAU
rnacentral:tRNA from 1 species